rnacentral:lncRNA from 1 species
UUACACAAUAGCACAAUUCUUUUGGUGAUUAAUAUAAACAAGAUCAAGUGACUAACAGAAACACAUCAUGGCAAACUGAUGAGGCCCAAGUUUCUGGUUUUGUUAAAUCAAUGAAGCAGUUUAUAUGAAUCUGAAACUACGUGCCUGUACUCGGAACAAAUUGUUUCAAAUAUUGGUCAGAUGUGUGCCUAUACUUGGAACAAAUUGAUUCAAAUAUUGGUCAGAUACUCAGAUGUACUUUAUUUCACCUCUAUAUACAGCUCUGCAAGUUGGAAGAGAGGUCUUAACAUUUAAUGCAGCAAGCAUUAUUUUUGUAGUUGGGAUUGCUAGAAAUGUAGGAUCCUGAACUUGGGGUGGGAAAUGUCCCAAACCCAAAAUGAAAUUCAUCUUUGUAAUGUUCUUUGGUCUAUAUUAUUUUAUUAAAUUGGAGUUGGAACUGCUUUCAUAUUUCAAGCUUUGUUUAAACUUUAAUAGAAAUAGAAAUACAUCACUAGAUAUUUGGAAGUACCCUUAUAAAUGGAUCAAGUGCACGUUAACACAUACUAGUACACUAACAUAUUACCAUUAGUUAUUUCAAGUUUUUGUAUAGAAAAUAGAAGAUGCACUGGCAGUGUAAAGUAAUGUUACACUAUCAACUAAUGAAUAUUU